AAGAUUGUUGAUUUCUGUGAAAAUCCUGCAAAUGUGGUGUCCCAUGAUAAGACAUCUAAAAAUAUUGGAAUUGGAUUGGUGUGGGCUUCAGCAUGAGGUGAUAAAAUACAGAUUCAAGUGGACAAAAAGGGGAAGAUUGUGGACAUGAGGUUUAAAACAUCUGGCUGCAGUUCUGCAGUUGCCUCCAGCCCGUUAGCCACUGACCGGGUGAAAAAGAAUAUGAUAGAGGAAGCCUAUACCCUCAAAAACACAGACAUCACCAAGGAGCCCUGCCUUCCUCCUGUGAAACUGCCUGCUCCAUGCUGGCUGAGGAUGCAACUAAGGCCACUUGGCUGGUUACAAACUAAAAUAAGGACCCGAGAAAGGAGAGGUGGAGAAGA
rnacentral:lncRNA from 1 species